GCUGAGUCUAAUGGGAUUGGAGGAUUUGGAUUGUGGCACCUUAGUAAUGUUCCUUCUAGAGUUUUGGUGGUCUGCUUGCUAGAGUAGCUUAUGGGGUUCUGGCCCUGGUGUGAUGUGGGCGUCUUAGUUCCCUCAAUUCUCAGGGCAGUUUGGGGGGGGAGGGUGAGCGGGUCUCGGUGUCAGAUGGUCCCAUAUGGGUAAGUGUGUGUAGUGGCUGAAAGAAGUGGGUGGGCCUCUGAGGUCGUGUGUAUAGUAGCGUCAGGAGCAAGUGGAAAUAGCUAUGUGGAAGAGGUCAUU